GAUGAACGCUGGCGGCGUGCCUAAUACAUGCAAGUCGAGCGAACAGACGAGGAGCUUGCUCCUUUGACGUUAGCGGCGGACGGGUGAGUAACACGUGGAUAACCUACCUAUAAGACUGGGAUAACUUCGGGAAACCGGAGCUAAUACCGGAUAACAUGUUGAACCGCAUGGUUCAACAGUGAAAGACGGUCUUGCUGUCACUUAUAGAUGGAUCCGCGCCGCAUUAGCUAGUUGGUAAGGUAACGGCUUACCAAGGCAACGAUGCGUAGCCGACCUGAGAGGGUGAUCGGCCACACUGGAACUGAGACACGGUCCAGACUCCUACGGGAGGCAGCAGUAGGGAAUCUUCCGCAAUGGGCGAAAGCCUGACGGAGCAACGCCGCGUGAGUGAAGAAGGUCUUCGGAUCGUAAAACUCUGUUAUUAGGGAAGAACAAAUGUGUAAGUAACUAUGCACGUCUUGACGGUACCUAAUCAGAAAGCCACGGCUAACUACGU
rnacentral:rRNA from 1 species